rnacentral:rRNA from 1 species
UACAGAGGGUGCGAGCGUUGUCCGGAAUCACUGGGCGUAAAGGGCGCGUAGGUGGUGGCUUAAGCGUGCGGUGAAAGCUCGGGGCUCAACCCCGAGUCGGCCGUGCGAACUGGGCUCACUGGAGCAUAGUAGAGGCAGGUGGAAUUCCGGGUGUAGCGGUGGAAUGCGUAGAGAUCCGGGAAGAACACCGGUGGCGAAGGCGGCCUGCUGGGCUAUGGCUGACACUGAGGCGCGACAGCGUGGGGAGCAAACAGG